AUGAGUCGACCUAAUGGGAUCAACAUCCCUGACGGCAAGUACCUUGGAGAUGCUGGCUAUGCAUGUCGGCCGGGUAUUCUUCCACCCUUUAGGAAAACCAGGUACCAUCUCAACGAGUUCUCUGGUAGGAACUAUCCUAGGACUGCACAGGAGCUAUAUACUCUCAGACACUCCAACCUUAGAGUAAUUGUUGAGAGGGCAUUUGGAGCUCUGAAGAAUAGGUUUAAAAUCCUGGAUCAGAAGCCAUUCCACCCAUACCCCACUCAGGUUAAGCUUGUUCUUGCUUGUUGCAUUCUGCAUAACUGGAUCCUCCAGUGAGGCUUUGAUGAACACGUGCCUGAGGAGGAAGGGUCGAGCGACGAUAUUGUUAGCUCUGGCCAUGGUGUGGAGGCAUUUGACAAUGACGCUUGGACGAACAAAAAGGUUGGAGUGGGCAGAGGCUAUGUGGCUUAA
rnacentral:rRNA from 1 species